GCAAAAUGUGCAUGCAGUUUGUUGGUGCUACGCUGUACACGGAGUUAGAUGCUAAAGAAGAGAAUAAUUAAACAGUAAAGCGUUACAGCAACUCCUAGAUUUCUGGUCGGAAGGCGCACACGACAGCUAUGAGGAAAGAAGGAGAAAGGUUCGAGAGGCUGAGGUUUGAUCUGACCUUCAGUCAGAUGCAGAAGAGCCAGCCCGAAAAAAUGCCAGGCGCAAAAUGCCAAGCACUCAACUUUUGAGCUGCUCUUUGAUGGACUCUGAGGAAGAUGAUGCUUUACAGCAAGAUUCCACAGGUCUUCCUCCUCCUCCACCAGUCUAUCAUUUUGAUCGACCCGCAGAGGGGACUUCAAUAUCCUUUACAGAAAUGCUGACCAGUAACCACGCCAUCUGGCAGCCUGAGGAUUUCACAUUUGAACGUAAGUGUAUCAUCCCAAAUCUAUAUGAAAUGAA
ensembl:lncRNA